rnacentral:misc_RNA from 1 species
GAUGAAGAACGUAGCGAAAUGGGAUAAGUAAUGUGAAUUGCAGAAUUCAGUGAAUCAUCGAAUCUUUGAACGCACAUUGCGCCCGCCAGUAUUCUGGCGGGCAUGCCUGUUCGAGCGUCAUUACAACCCUCAGGCCCCCGGGCCUGGCGUUGGGGAUCGGCGGAAGCCCCCUGCGGGCACAACGCCGUCCCCCAAAUACAGUGGCGGUCCCGCCGCAGCUUCCAUUGCGUAGUAGCUAACACCUCGCAACUGGAGAGCGGCGCGGCCACGCCGUAAAACACCCAACUUCUGAAUGUUGACCUCGAAUCAGGAAGGAAUACCCGCUGAACUUAAGCAUAUCAAUAAGCGGAGGA